GUCCCGGUGGCCGAGUGGUUAAGGCGACGCCCUGCUAUUACUAGUAGUCGAGGCGUUGGGUUCUGCCCGCGCAAGUUCGAAUCUUGUCCGUGACG
rfam:Tortispora caseinolytica NRRL Y-17796 unplaced genomic scaffold CANCAscaffold_1, whole genome shotgun sequence.